AUUGAACGCUGGCGGCAUGCCUUACACAUGCAAGUCGAACGGCAGCACGGGAGCAAUCCUGGUGGCGAGUGGCGAACGGGUGAGUAAUAUAUCGGAACGUGCCCAGUAGUGGGGGAUAACUGCUCGAAAGAGCAGCUAAUACCGCAUACGACCUGAGGGUGAAAGCGGGGGAUCGCAAGACCUCGCGCUAUUGGAGCGGCCGAUAUCAGAUUAGCUAGUUGGUGGGGUAAAAGCUCACCAAGGCGACGAUCUGUAGCUGGUCUGAGAGGACGACCAGCCACACUGGGACUGAGACACGGCCCAGACUCCUACGGGAGGCAGCAGUGGGGAAUUUUGGACAAUGGGCGCAAGCCUGAUCCAGCCAUGCCGCGUGCGGGAAGAAGGCCUUCGGGUUGUAAACCGCUUUUGUCAGGGAAGAAACGGCUCCUACUAAUACUGGGGGCUAAUGACGGUACCUGAAGAAUAAGCACCGGCUAACUACGUGCCAGCAGCCGCCGUAAGAC
rnacentral:rRNA from 1 species